GCCACCAUCACUUUCUGUCAGAAAAAAAUUAUUAAAGGAAAAGGAAAGAAAAACCAAAAGAUCUCAUUUAAAGUUGAUAGCAUAUUUCCUUCAUUUAAUAGCUCACUUUCUCUUUCAUUAUUAUGAAGCAAAAAAUAAGCUGAAACAAAAAUCUAACAAGGUGGACCUCCAUGAACUCAUCGACGGAGCAAAUGAAGACCACGGUGGAUCACAUGAAUAAAAUGGCGGAGCUCAAGAACUCACGGCGGCUCGCAUAAAGCUCAUGGCGGCCGGAGCUUCUCCGGCGCGGUGGCCGGAGUUAAAAAUAUCCGGAAUCAAAAUUUUUUUACAUCAUUAGAUUCGUUUCCUUCUCCUUAUUUCAAAUAUCAACUCAAAAAUUUCAGAAAAUAACCGAAAGAAACAAGAUCUACAAAAGAAGUUUGAAUGUUCUAAAUUCAAAAUGUAGCACAAUCAGUGCAAGAGUCACGAAAGUAAAGAGGAAUUCGGGUUCAGAAGAUGGAAGGCAACCUUUUAGUGUCAAGAACUGAAAGAACGGCGGAGGUUAAGAGCUCCGGCGCGGUGGUUCAGUGUUUUCCGGCGAGGGAUUUUGAAGUUCUGGCGAGGUUUUUUGAGCUCAGUUUCUGAAAAGAGCAUUGGGCUCAAGUUGUGACAAACUUGGAUCGGGAAGUUGUGGAAGUCCAAUUUGGCUCUGCAACCUAAAUCCGAAAAUCAUCAAGUUAUUCCAAUUUUAUUUUUUUGCACUCGUGUUGCUUGGAUGCUGGAUGGGCCUGGAUUUGUACUUUGGUGUAUGAAUGAUUUUUGUUGAAAUUAUUAAUUCUUCAUUUUUCUCAUUUUUUCAUAUGAUGAUGAGAUGUGAAUUUUUCUUGAAGGAGGAGGUGAACCCGAUGCCAAACCAUGAAGCUUAGAAGAAAAUGGUAGACUUGUGAAGUUGUAAACCAAGAGUUUUGCCAUGAAUUUGUUCUUUGAAUCUUAGACCAUAGGAAAUCUCAAAUUAUGCUUCUUGUAGGAUAAGAAACUUUGUAAUUUGGUAUAGGAACCUUGAAUCCAUCUUGUAUUUUUGAAGCUUUAACUUGAAGAAAAUUGGAUUCUUUGAAUGGAAUGAGGACUCUUGUUUUGAACCUUGUAAUCCUUGAAGUAUUUUGGAGUUGAAACUUGUAUGUUGAAAGACAUUGAAUCGAAA